GGAGGAGAUGAUUCCAACUGCAGAAGUAUGAGCGUGGGAGAAUUUUGCCUAUGGUGUCCAUGGUAGCAGGUGGCAAUGACACAGACUUUCCACAGAGUUGAAAAUGUGGAAGGAGGAAUGUGAUAAACCACGAGAAGCUGAGCAGAAGUGAGAAGUCCAAGGAGGAAGAGAGUAGUCUGUUCUAAUGUGUCAAAGAAAGUUUCUUUUAUUUCUGGUUCAGCCUCAAGAGAUACAAUACAAAAGCCCAUUCACUGCGAUCACUCUGAGCCUCAGUGGUCUGCAAAGCAAGGGAAUUGGCCUUGAUGGUUCCAACUUCAACAACAUACCCAGCUCUCUUUCCUGGAAAAUGGAGUAUGAAGAGUUGAUGCAAUUCAAAAGAUUAAGGGCAUGAAGUCCCUGGCCUUGAGAAAAAUGAGUGUUAUGCACAGAUUAAUUCCUGUACAGGGAGGAUCCAGCAGAAACAACUGAG
rnacentral:lncRNA from 1 species